AAGUCGUAACAAGGUUUCCGUAGGUGAACCUGCGGAAGGAUCAUUAACAAAGAGUGUGGGCGGAGGGGGGUUGCUGGUGGCGGCCUGAAUGCCAGGCAGCCGCUAGUAGUGCCGCUUCGCCUAUUGACCCACUCCUGGAAGGGAGCUGGCCGAGUGCGGUUGGGAGCUGGGGGGCUGAGUGGUGCUGGUGCAAAUCAGGGCAGCUCGGCGCUCACGCUUUCAGCGGGCUCAAAUAAACCAUGAAUUCUGACAUUAAAAAUAAACUUUAACAAGGAUAACUUUUAACAAUGGAUCUCUUGGCUCCU
rnacentral:misc_RNA from 1 species